rnacentral:rRNA from 1 species
UUUCGCAAUGCCCGAAAGGGUGACGAAGCGACGCCGCGUGAGCGAAGAAGGCCUUAGGGUUGUAAAGCUCUGUCAAGGGUUAUGAAAUAUAGAUGAGUUAAUACCUCGUUUAUUUGACAAAGGCCCAAAAGGAAGUCACGGCUAACUCUGUGCCAGCAGCCGCGGUAAUACAGAGGUGGCAAGCGUUGUUCGGUAUUAUUGGGCGUAAAGAGCACGUAGGUGGUUUUGUAAGUCAGGUGUGAAAGCCUUCUGUUCAAAGGAAGAACGGCAUCUGAAACUGCAGAUCUUGAGUGUAGGAGGGGAGAGUGGAACUUCUGGUGGAGCGGUGAAAUGCGUAGAUAUCAGAAGGAACGUCGGCGGCGAAAGCGACUCUCUGGCCUAUUACUGACACUGAGGUGCGAAAGUUAGGGGAGCAAACGGGAUUAGAUACCCCGGUAGUCCUAACCGUAAACGAUGGGCACUAAGUAGAGGGGUUUUA